GAUGAACGCUGGCGGCGUGCUUAACACAUGCAAGUCGAACGAAGCACUUUAUUUGAUUUCCUUCGGGACUGAUUAUUUUGUGACUGAGUGGCGGACGGGUGAGUAACGCGUGGGUAACCUGCCUUGUACAGGGGGAUAACAGUUGGAAACGGCUGCUAAUACCGCAUAAGCGCACGGCAUCGCAUGAUGCAGUGUGAAAAACUCCGGUGGUAUAAGAUGGACCCGCGUUGGAUUAGCUAGUUGGUGAGGUAACGGCCCACCAAGGCGACGAUCCAUAGCCGACCUGAGAGGGUGACCGGCCACAUUGGGACUGAGACACGGCCCAAACUCCUACGGGAGGCAGCAGUGGGGAAUAUUGCACAAUGGGCGAAAGCCUGAUGCAGCGACGCCGCGUGAGCGAAGAAGUAUUUCGGUAUGUAAAGCUCUAUCAGCAGGGAAGAUAAUGACGGUACCUGACUAAGAAGCACC
rnacentral:rRNA from 1 species